rnacentral:tRNA from 1 species
UAAAGUAUAGCUAAGUGGUAAAGCAGUGGAUUUUGGUUCCAUGUACCGAAGGUUCGAAUCCUUCUACUUUAA